rnacentral:rRNA from 1 species
AGGGCGCAUGGAGGAUGCCUAGGCUCUCGGAGGCGAAGAAGGACGUGAUAAGCUGCGAAAAGUUACGGUAAGGCGCAAAUAGCCCUAGACCCGUAAAUAUCCGAAUGGGGCAACCCGGCCAGCAAUGGCCAUACCGCCAAGCGGUAAGCCAACGCGGGGAACUGAAACAUCUAAGUACCCGCAGGAAAAGAAAAUAACAAUGAUUCCGCCAGUAGUGGCGAGCGAACGCGGAACAGCCCAAACCACCCGUGUUACGGCACGAGUGGGGUAGAAGGAUCCACGAUACGGCAAGAAAUAAGUUAGCAGAAUACGAUGGAAAUCGUAGCCAAAGACGGUGACAGCCCAGUACGCGAAAACCGACAGAAGCCCAGUGGACACCUGAGUAACCCAGGACACGAGAAAUCCGGGGCGAAUCAGCGGGGCCCAUCCCGUAAGGCUAAAUACUCCCGAGAGACCGAUAGCGAACCAGUACUGUGAAGGAAAGGUGAAAAGAACCUCGAACAGAGGAGUGAAAGAGACCCUGAAACCAUGCGCCUACAAGCGGUCGGAGCAUGUUAAAAUGUGACGGCGUGCCUUUUGCAUAAUGAACCUACGAGUUACUCUCGCUGGCAAGGUUAAGCGAUUCAGUCGCGCAGCCGAAGCGAAAGCAAGUCCGAAUAAGGCGUACAGUCAGCGGGAGUAGACGCGAAACCAAGUGAUCUACCCUUGGUCAGGUUGAAGGUUGGGUAACACCAACUGGAGGACCGCACCGAUAAGCGUUGAAAAGCUUACGGAUGAACUGAGGGUAGGAGUGAAAGGCCAAUCAAACUUGGAGAUAGCUCGUACUCCCCGAAAUGCAUUUAGGUGCAGCGUUCCGCGAUAGCGUCAAGAGGUAGAGCGACCGAUAGGAUGCGAGGGCUUCACCGCCUAUCAAGUCCUGACGAACUCCGAAUGCUUGACGCCGGCAGCGGGGCAGCAAGGGGGCGGGUGCUAAGGUCCGUCCCCGAGAGGAGAAGAAUCCAGACCGCCGUCUAAGGUCCCGGAAUUCUGCCUGAGUUAGUCUAACGAAGUGAGGUCCCUGAGACAGCCAGGAUGUUGGCUUGGAAGCAGCCAUUCAUUCAAAGAGUGCGUAACAGCUCACUGGUCGAGGGUCCUUGCGUGGAUAAUAAUCGGGUAUAAGGCAGAUACCGAAGGCGCGGGAUAGUAAUAAUAAAAGUAUCGGUAGGGGAGCAUUCCAUGUGCGUCGAAUGUUCAUGGUGACGUGAGCUGGAGCGCAUGGAAAAGCAAAUGUAGGUAUAAGUAACGACAAGGAGGGCGAGAACCCCUCCCGCCGCAAGACCAAGGUUUCCCGGGCAAUGCCAGUCAUCCCGGGGUCAGUCGGGUCCUAAGUCUAAGCCGAACGGCGAUGGCGAUGGCAGAGACGGUUAAUAUUCCGUCACUGCCGCAUGGGGCGACGUGGAGACGGAGCAGUGAAACCACCGCGGGGCGACGGAAGUCCCCGUUGAAGAGUGUAGGUGUUGAGGAUGGCAGGCAAAUCCACCGUCCGAGCUGAACUUGAUAGUAUGGAGUCUUCUUCGGAAGAAUCCAAUAGUGUGGGUAAUCAUACUCCCGAGAAAAUCCGCUAAGCUUAACCCAUGCGGCACCCGUACCGCAAACGGACACACGUAGUCGGGUAGAAUAUACUAAGGCGUUGAGAGACUCAUGGUUAAGGAACUAGGCAAACUGACCCCGUAACUUCGGGAUAAGGGGUCCUCACGUAGAGUGAGGCGCAGAGAAUAGGUCCAGGCAACUGUUUAACAAAAACACAGGGCUGUGCGAACUCGAAAGAUGAAGUAUACAGCCUGACACCUGCCCGGUGCCGGAAGGUUAAGAGGAGAGCUUAUCGCAAGAGAAGGCUUGAAUUGAAGCCCCGGUAAACGGCGGCCGUAACUAUAACGGUCCUAAGGUAGCGAAAUUCCUUGUCGGGUAAGUUCCGACCUGCACGAAUGGUGUAAUGAUCUGGACACUGUCUCAACCGUGACUUCGGUGAAAUUGUAGUAUCGGUGAAGAUGCCGAUUACCCGCAACGGGACGAAAAGACCCCGUGAACCUUUACUGCAACUUAGCAUUGCGUUUGGGCAUUUGAUGUGUAGGAUAGUCCGGAGGCUACGAGCCGGCGACGCCAGUCGUCGGGGAGCCGUUGUUGAAAUACGGACCUUCGAAUGUUUGAGCGCUAACUCGCAGGAGCGAGGACACUGUUUGGUGGGUAGUUUGACUGGGGUGGUCGCCUCCAAAAGCGUAACGGAGGCUUCCCAAGGUACCCUCAGCACGAAUGGUAACCGUGCGCGGAGUGCAAUAGCAUAAGGGUGCUUGACUGUGAGACAUACAAGUCGACCAGGUACGAAAGUAGGGUAUAGUGAUCCGGUGGUUCUGCGUGGACUGGCCAUCGCUCAAAGGAUAAAAGGUACUCCGGGGAUAACAGGCUGAUCGCCGCCAAGAGCUCAUAUCGACGCGGCGGUUUGGCACCUCGAUGUCGGCUCGUCACAUCCUGGGGCUGGAGAAGGUCCCAAGGGUUGGGCUGUUCGCCCAUUAAAGUGGCACGCGAGCUGGGUUCAGAACGUCGUGAGACAGUUCGGUCUCUAUCUGUUGCGGGCGUAGGAAGAUUGAGGGGUCCUGACUUUAGUACGAGAGGACCGAGUUGGACGAACCUCCGGUGUAUCGGUUAUGCUGCCAAGUGUACUGCCGAGUAGCCGCGUUCGGUCUGGAUAAGCGCUGAAAGCAUCUAAGCGCGAAGCCAUCCCCAAGAUAAGUCUUCCCUUGAGGGGCGUAGGAGACUACUACGUUGAUAGGCUGCAGGUGUAAAGACAGCAAUGUCAAAGCCGAGCAGUACUAAUUACCCGAUAGGCUUUCUU